rnacentral:lncRNA from 1 species
CAUUGCCCAAAAGGAGUUCCCUGGAACACCCAGAACACCAGUCCCCUGAGAUAGCCAUUGACACAUGGCCGAGGUCUGAUAAUUGCCAUCCAUAGUUUGUCCCUCUUGGAGGGUCACAGAAGUUCACACAGUUAAGAUCCUGCUUACCCUUGUUUAACUCUACAUCCCCAUACUUAUUUGACCCCUCCUUUUUUCUAGUAACAUGAUUAACAUUCCAC